rnacentral:rRNA from 1 species
GAUGAACGCUGGCGGCGUGCUUAACACAUGCAAGUCGAACGGUGAAGCAGAGCUUGCUCUGUGGAUCAGUGGCGAACGGGUGAGUAACACGUGAGCAACCUGCCCCUGACUCUGGGAUAAGCGCUGGAAACGGCGUCUAAUACUGGCUAUGAGCUGCGACCGCCUGGUCAGCAGUUGGAAAGAUUUUUCGGUCUGGGAUGGGCUCACGGCCUAUCAGCUUGUUGGUGAGGUAAUGGCUCACCAAGGCGUCGACGGGUAGCCGGCCUGAGAGGGUGACCGGCCACACUGGGACUGAGACACGGCCCAGACUCCUACGGGAGGCAGCAGUGGGGAAUAUUGCACAAUGGGCGAAGGCCUGAUGCAGCAACGCCGCGUGAGGGAUGACGGCCUUCGGGUUGUAAACCUCUUUUAGCAGGGAAGAAGCGAAAGUGACGGUACCUGCAGAAAAAGCGCCGGCUAACUACGUG